UACAGAGGGUGCGAGCGUUAAUCGGAAUUACUGGGCGUAAAGGGCGCGUAGGCGGUUACGAACGUGUGAUGUGAAAGCCCCGGGCUUAACCUGGGAAGUGCAUCGCAAACGAUGUAACUGGAGUAGAUGAGAGGGUGGCGGAAUUUCCGGUGUAGCGGUGAAAUGCGUAGAGAUCGGAAGGAACGUCGAUGGCGAAGGCAGCCACCUGGCAUCAUACUGACGCUGAAGCGCGAAAGCGUGGGUAGCGAACAGG
rnacentral:rRNA from 1 species